rfam:Exiguobacterium sp. AT1b, complete genome.
UAUAAAUCGAGGAUUGAGAAGAGUAGCGCGAGAAGACGUUUCGUCCAGAGAGUCAGGGAUGGUGAGAUCCUGACCGAGGCGUCCGCGUGAAUGGGCUCAUGAGAGCAUGGCUGAAGAGAGUAGGUCGUGACGGUUUCCCCCGUUAUCGGGAUACGAUGUGAUUGCAUCGGAGAGUGGAUUCUUUUGAAUCAACGAGAGGUGGCACCGCGGUCUUGAACCGUCCUCCAU